UACGGGGGGAGCAAGCGUUGUUCGGAUUUACUGGGCGUAAAGGGCGCGUAGGCGGUGUAUUAAGUUAGAUGUGAAAUCCCUGGGCUUAACCUAGGAACUGCAUCUAAGACUGAUACGCUAGAGUGCGGUAGAGGAUAGUGGAAUUUCCGGUGCAGCGGUGAAAUGCGUAGAUAUCGGAAGGAACACCAGUGGCGAAGGCGGCUAUCUGGACUGACACUGACGCUGAGGCGCGAGAGCGUGGGGAGCAAACAGG
rnacentral:rRNA from 1 species